GCACAACAACUUCCGCGGCAACUCCGCCGCCGGCGGCCGGUCCCGGUCCCGGCGUUCCGCUGCACUCCCACAGUCCCACCUCUGCGUCCGCGGGGACGGGGUAGCCCUACUGAGCUUCGCAGCCUAACAAGUUUCUUGCCACCAGGUAGGCGCUUCCUACCUGCGGUUCCCUCGUUUCAGGAUGCUGGAUUUUGCAUCCUGCUAGCACUGGCUCUGGCUCUGGCUUUGAGCGAGCAAUAAGGUAACUAGCCAACCCACGGGACCCCUUACUCUGUUUUAUUUUGCCAACAUUCGUCACUCUAUUCUUCAAUCUGCCUGAUUCUGAGUAGACAUUAUUGCUUUCGUGGGAUCCUUUCCGCCUGAGGUGCUCGCAGGCAAAGGUUUAUUUUUUUUCUCUCAGGAGACAAAAACGUUCCUCUGAAUGUUGCUGUGGCUUUGGAGAAAAUAGCUAUUAUAGGACUCUAAUCGUGCGGCUUCUUCGAAAUAGGAUUCUUAACGUUUGUUUAUCUGAAAUAGGACUCUAAACGUUGAUAAUAAGCUGUAAUGACAUUUUGUGUCUUUUUCAUUUCUUUUUUUAUCUAAAUACAUGUAUUUGUUCCUAAAAUGACCCUUUUAUCCUUCAGUCAUUAAACUGUUAUGGUAGUCUCCAUUACAGAAAAAAAAACAUCAUAGCUUCCUGGCCUGUGUGUUGCCUUGUCCAGCUUAUUUUUUUUUAAUAAACUGAUGCCUUGCUGCCAUGCCGCCAUGGUCGUGGCUGCCGUGCUGGCUGGCCAUGGUCAUGGCAAAUAUUGGAUGUCGGCCAGGUAUCUCGCGCUGCUAGUGCUUCGCGCUGCCUGCAGCCUGAUGUCCAGGCAGAGAUCGCCAGCCACUGUUGGGGGCUCGGCUGAUUUUGGGGAUUGUAACGGAGGGUGAGAGUACCAAGACCGAAAGCAGGUAAGACGGGUGUUGUGCCGUGCCAACUAGAUCACACAUCUGCUGAUCUGCCUAAUCCAAUCGGUCUUGGAGUGUCACCUGAAAUGUUUCACGCUUAAAAAUCGAGUAAGAAUCACUUUAGCAAAAUUGUAUGGAUAACAUGCUAGAUCUUGGCGAAAAACAAUUCGGCUCUAAUUAACAAGCUUAAAUUACAAAUUCAACUGAGCUAAAAUUGAGCCGAACUUGAUACUCGCACUGCUCGAGGGCUAGAGAUCCUUUCACAUCUGUAAAUGACAAGUGACCCACUGUACAUAAGCUUGUUUGUUUGUUCAUGCAUCUCUAUUGCUCCGGCUUCUUGUCUCUGGCCUUCUGCAUGUCCACCAUCUUUAAUUUCUCCUUGAGGCAAGAUGUCAUCUGAAUCACCACCAUCUUUAAUUUCUCCUUGUGGCAAGAUAUUAUCUGAAUCACCAUUUUCAUGUUCUACUUGUUUGCUUUUGCAGAAAUAAAUUGUUAAGGCGACCACAAGAGAGGUGGUUGAGGCAACUCCAGUGGCAAUAGUCGGUCCUGCGAAACUGUCAAAGGUGAGUGUACCUGAACCAGAGAUGGUGCCCACAUUUUGGCAGUUGUUUUGAUCUCCUAUCCAUUUCUUCUCAAUCCGAGUUAUAGUGUCUCCCCCUGUUAUGUUGAGGAUUGCUUGUGAGAUGUCACCUAUUAUUGGCGAUCCCUUCUGAAGUGCCUGUGGAAGAAGGUGCCCGUGUAAAAAACAUGACCCAACUAAGACUAUUAUGCAUCAUUGUGGAAACUAGAAUAAAGAUGAAUCUGAACUUGGUUAUGCCAAAGUAAUUUUAAUAAACAUAGCUAAACUUACAUAUCCAAAACCUGCAUUCUUAUAUAUUGGUCCAACCAUGGUGUAUCCCUUGCAAUGCUCCGCAAGGAAUAAUUUGAGGUAUGGGAUUUCAUCCACAAGGGCAGCAACACCACCAUUCUUGCAUCCUCUGGAAAGCUCAUCAUGAAACUCUUCAGGGCUUUCAUAGGGCUUGAUCUUUGAUACCUCAAAGCCUAUUUCUUCCAAAAGAUCCUUGAUGUAGGAACCAUGAGGAUACCCAACACAUUCUCCAGCUUUGAGAAGUUCUUCGACAUUUGUUACAGUUGGGUAGAGCUGUUGAACAGUUAGCAUGGAUGUCAAGCUUGCAGUGUAGCUUGACUUGAGUACCAGAAGGAAAAACAGCCAUAUGACCAACACGAUCCGAGAGAUAAGGCGUUUCACCUUCUCUUCUGCAGAGAGUUAACAUACUUUUCAGAUAGUAUAAAUCAAAGUUAAAAAGUACAUAGUUCAUAAUGUCCAGAUUUGCUAAUCUUUACAUGCAUACGGUGAUAUAAUGCCAAUAUAUUCCUUCUUGCAUCUGUAAAAUUUUGUAUUGGCUUGAUAGUUCUCAGCACAACUGCACAAUAUUUGUCCCUGUUUGAUCACAUCUGUGCUGUAAGACAUCAGACAUGUCUUAUGGACUCUGUGCAUUUGGUGGAAACCAUAUAACAUUACACAUUAUUUUUCUGAGUUGUGAAAGCUUGUGCAUGGCAUUAACUAGGUAUGAAAAAGGUGUAUCAACUUGAUCAUUAUGCUAUAUCUAUCCAAAAAUUUACUAGAAAAAGAGUUACACUAAGGCACUCACUCUCUUCAAACAGGGAAAAAUAUAUCAUCGUAGCUAGCUGUCGGGGAACUGGACCAUGAAUGUUCUUGUUGUUGCCUAGAAGCUCUAAAAACCAUAUCACAAUGCCUGUGUAGAUAAAGAGUAUUAUGGUCCCAAUCCACAUGCCAGGUGUGAGUGGCUUCAGGAAAAUCCAUGUAUUCUUGCUUAUGCUUUCCCUGACAGGAACAACCAUUGCUAUCCCUGAUUGUGUAUGGCUGAGUGAAGUCGACAUACAAACUUCUGUUGUACCUAAUUGUUAUGUCUCCAACUGCUAUAUCAUAUUUCUGUCAGGGUGCAAAAAAAAGUUUAACUAAGAGCUGUAAAGAGGAACAAAUUAAACAAGAAAAGUUAUGACCUCUAUGUAAUCAGAUUGGUAGGACUAUUUUGUGAAAACUAAAUUCUGAUGUUUAAUGUGCAAGGUUGAGCAUUUAUGGAUUAAUAGUAAAACAAAAUAAUUUACCUCAGCAAUAUAGAAACAUAUUUAUGACAGUCAUGAUUAAUACAUGACAAAAUACGGAAAAAUGGAAUUGUGUGUUAUGCCAGUACAUGGCAUCCGUUGUUUUUUUGAAGGUCGGCAUCCGUUGUUUUCAUUUCAUCUACAAUAAGAAUGACAAAGGGCUUAUAGCUUGUCUUCUAUUAUGGUAUAACUGUCAGAAAUUUAUAUUUAUUUGAAAUAACAGCAUGGUAUUGGAAAUAUCAGAUGUUGAAAAGCAUAAUGUGUGCAGUUAUAGUUUCAACUUGAAAAAAAAAACCCAAUAUAUUUCUUAUCUUAAAUGUAAAUUUAUUUGAAAUAACAGCAUGAUAUUGGAAAUACUAGAUCUUGAAAAGCAUAAUGUGUGCAAUUAUAGUUUCAACUUGAAAAUAAAACCAAUAUAUUUCUUACCUUAAGAUAAACUUGAUUGACAAAAUCAUCGUAGCUUGAACUUGAAUUCUUCGUGAUGUUAAAUACUACAUAUUCAUAAGGGAGUGCAUAAGGUAGUCUCUUUACUGCCUCCUCAAAAACAUCAAUUGCAAUGCCACUUGCUUUAAUCACACCUGUGAUGGAAUUUUCAACAACAUCUAUGUAUUUUUGAUAUUUAUUUCCUGUGACUACACCAACUUGAAGCUUCUUCCCAUUUGUUGGAAUCUCCCAGCCCCUUGGGAUCUUAGUAGAUUCGCCUGGCCAAAUCACAAUUUUCAGAUCAUGUGUGGUGUUCCGGUAUUUUAUGUUUGACCUCUGGUCUAAUUGCUGUGACAGUCCAUUUUGUGCAGUCCAAAACCCAAUCACUCUCUGUGCUUUUCCAACUACAUUUAUUAUUUGAAACUUGGAAACUUGCAGCUGCCCAUCUGAAAGGUCAAAGUCACCACUUAAACCUUCAAAUUUAUUUUGCAAGAUUGCCUUUAGGAUUGCUGGACCAUUUCUUGAUUUUUUCAAGGCUCCCAAACUUGUAGAGUUUUUCAGUGCAGGUGGUCUCAGAAAUUUUGCUUGUCUCAGAAUUUUUGCUUUAGUAACCUUGGCCUUUUCUGCUGCUUGAGCUAACCCCCAGAUCGUAUCAUAGCUCCAUAGUCCAAAGAUGUUUAAUUUCAAUGUUGGGUCAUUUGGAUGAUCAUUUCGUGACCUCAUAUACCAUCUCAUGGUGAAGCUAUCAAGUUCUUUUGAUUUAGGAACAUAGGACUCGACCCCCAAGGCACCAUUCAUUGCUUCCACGACUGAAGGAUUUAGUAAAUCAAUGAGAUUUGCUAGUCGAUCUGUUAUAAUCCAUACAAACCCCUCGCUCAUCAUCCCAAUUUCCUUUGCUUUUGUGAAGAAUAGGGAGCCCAAAGAUGGGGACAUGUGCACCACAAAGACCCUUGUUUGCAUUGUC
rnacentral:lncRNA from 1 species